GUCUAAUGUAGGAUAGCUCAGUCAGUAGAGCAUGAGACUCUUAAUCUCAGAGUCGUGGGUUUGAGUCCCAUGUUGGGCA